GACGAACGCUGGCGGCGCGCCUAACACAUGCAAGUCGAACGAGAGAUGAAGAGCUUGCUCUUCAAAUCGAGUGGCGAACGGGUGAGUAACGCGUGAGGAACCUGCCUCAAAGAGGGGGACAACAGUUGGAAACGGCUGCUAAUACCGCAUAAGCCCACGGCUCGGCAUCGAGCAGAGGGAAAAGGAGCAAUCCGCUUUGAGAUGGCCUCGCGUCCGAUUAGCUAGUUGGUGAGGUAACGGCCCACCAAGGCGACGAUCGGUAGCCGGACUGAGAGGUUGAACGGCCACAUUGGGACUGAGACACGGCCCAGACUCCUACGGGAGGCAGCAGUGGGGAAUAUUGGCACAAUGGGGGAAACCCUGAUGCAGCGACGCCGCGUGGAGGAAGAAGGUCUUCGGGAUUGUAAAACUCCUGUUGUUGAGGAAGAUAAUGACGGUACUCAACAAGGAAGUGACGGCUAACUACGUG
rnacentral:rRNA from 1 species